AGCUUUGGUCCUUUCUAUUCAGAGCCUUGUCUGUUCUUGUUUAGUUUGUGAGGUGUUUCUUACCUUUUUUGCUAAUGGUUGUGCUUCCACUACUUUAGGCAUGUAUCUUCCUGAUUCUUGGUGACUUUGGCCUUCCGAUUAUUAUUCUCCCCCUGGUCCACUUUUUUGGUUAUUUGCGUUGGUGCUUGAUCGCGCUUAUUUUUGUUCGGAGGAUUGGUUUGUUUCAGAUUUUAUCUUUCUAUCUUUUUUUUAUUUUUACUUGUUAUGGCCAAGACACUUUAUGGUACAAUGAGGUAAGUUAGUCAUCGUUCUUGAUCUCCUUUCAGCUCUAGACCUCUAUUGAAUUAGUGUUACUAUGACAUUUUGUAUAAUGGAGGUUUUAGGUUUAAAUUUUGUGUUGUGCUCUCGUUUCUUAUUUUUAGUUUGGUUAUUUUAUAACUUUAAUACUAAAAUAAAUAUAUAGUUUGUAAAAAGAAAUAAUAGAAAAUAAUAAAAAUAAUAAAAUGAAGAUAAUUUAUGCUAUUUUUAGU
rnacentral:lncRNA from 1 species